rnacentral:tRNA from 1 species
GGUGCUGUGGCUUAGCGGGUAAAGCCACUGCCUGCAGUGCCUGCAUCCCAUAUGGGCGCGGGUUCGAGUUCCGGCUGCUCCA